rnacentral:lncRNA from 1 species
GCCAAUUCCAUUAGAGAUGGGGACGAUUUCGACUCUUAAAGGUUUGCUCUUGGGGAACAACAGUUUUUCUAGGUUGAUUCCAGAAUCCCUAUUGAACCUGACGAAAAUGACCUUUUUGGAUUUGAGCAAGAACAAUUUUGGUGGGGAUAUACAAAAGAUUUUUGGGAGAUUCACACAGUUGAAGUUUCUUGUUCUAGACGGAAAUUCAUACUCAGGAGGGAUUAGUUCUUCUGGUAUUCUCAAGCUACCAAAGAUUUCUCGUUUAGACCUGAGUUAUAACAAUUUCUCAGGCCCAUUACCUGUUGAAAUCUCUCAAACGCAAAGUUUGAAUUUCUUGAUGCUGGCCUACAAUCAAUUUACAGGUGCUAUACCACCUGAGUAUGGAAACUUGCCGCAGUUACAAGCCCUUGAUCUCUCCUUCAACAGGCUUUCUGGAUCAAUCCCAUCAGCCCUCGGAAAAUUGAGCUCUCUUUUAUGGUUAAUGCUUGCAAACAACUCCCUUAGUGGUGAAAUUCCACCUGAUCUCGGAAACUGCAGCAGCUUGUUAUGGCUAAACCUCGCCAAUAAUCAAUUUUCUGGAAGAAUCCCUGCUGAGUUGGCAAAGAUUGGGAGAAAUGCUACUUCAACUUUUGAAUCAAAUCGGCUACGCAAUGACAGCAUGCUUCCUGGUUCUGGUGAGUGCUCGACAAUGAAGAGGUGGAUACCAGCAGACUAUCCACCUUUCAGUUUUGCGUAUACAAUUCUCACGAGGAAGACUUGCAGGCACAUAUGGGAUCGGUUGCUUAAAGGUUAUGGCCUUUUCCCAAUGUGCACUGCCGGUUCAAUGGUGAGAAUAUUACAAAUCUCAGGUUAUCUUCAACUUAGUGGGAAUAAGUUUUCGGGUGAGAUCCCUUCAGAUGUUGGAAUGAUGAGGAAUUUCAGUAUGCUUCACUUGGGUUUCAAUGACUUCAAUGGUAAACUGCCUGCACAGAUUGGACAGUUGCCACUUGUAGUCCUAAAUAUCACCCAAAACAAAAUUUUCAGGAGAAAUUCCAGCAGAGAUUGGGAAUUUCAAAUGCUUACAGAAUGUAGAUUUGUCAUACAAUAAUUUUUCUGGCAUAUUUCCAACAAGCUUCAACAACCUGACUGAACUGACCAAGUUAAACAUUUCAUACAAUCCGCUCAUUUCUGGUGUAAUUCCAUCAACUGGGCAAUUGGCAACGUUCGAGAAAGAGUCCUACCUGGGUAAUCCACUACUGGAUGUUCCAGAUUUUAUUGACAACAGAACAGAUAACCUGCCAAACCAUAACCAGAGGCAGAAAACCAUCUACAAAGUUGGCUGUGCUUGUAGUGUUAUUAGCUCUGACACUGGCCUUCUGAGAUCUCGGGGUUGUGUUGUACCGAUUGAACUUUUUAUAUAUAUAUAAAGAAGAUAGAAGGGAAGAAUGAAAGGUUGUAUGUAUUAAAAUUAGAUUCUUAAAUUUGAAUGUCACUCAUUACAAAUGUUUUUUUUUAGCUACAAGUAAGAUGUUAGUUAUUGUCUUUGGUGGCUUUAGGGAUAAGGUAAGCUUCAAAUAGUAUUCUUUGUCACCAAGUCUACUAGUCAAGGCGACUACAACAGCCUUUUGCUCUAGAUUUUUCACCUAUAGGGCUUUCGCAUUGAAACACGUAACAUAGUCUUUUAAAGACUUGUUUCUACCUUGAUGGACUAACAUAAGAUUCAAUAUAGUUUUCUUAAUUCUCCUACUGCUGACAAAACAGGAGAGGAAAAAAUGGCUAAGCUUUUUAAAUGUGAUGAUCGACCUUGGUUUAAAGCUAUAGUACCAAGAUUGAUCUGCCUUUUUAAGGGUUAUGGCCAAUCUUUUACACAUCAAGGCUUCAUUUGCGCCCUACAUCUUUAUAUUAGUUCUAUAAAGUUUCAAAUGAUAAAAAAGGAUCAAAGGUACCAUCGUAAGUCUCAAGGUCAACAUUUUGAAUCCCUUUGGGGGCAUUAUUCUAUCAAUUUCUUCGAUGAAUAACAAAGUCUUCAGGAAAUUUAGCUCGUCUUCAAAAGCAGUAGCUUUCCCUUUUAGCUCUUUUUUCAUAGCCUACAUUUUGGCCUUCAGAUCUUUGUUCCAUUAGGGUUUUUAGUCGGUUUGUUUGAAUUUUUAUAUGGUUUCAUAGGUGGAGUUGUGGUUGGGAUAAUGGUGAUAAAUGGCUAGGGUGGCAUGUUCUUCUUCCCUAGUGGCUGAAGAGAUUAACUCCUUCAUAAUUCAGUUGUCUCUAUAUUGGUUGUCUACUAAGGUGAUUAGAAGGGUUACUUUUGAGGCUUGGGGUGGUGUUAUGCUUUGGACCAUUUGUUUAAGGGCUUAGAUUUGUUAAUUCAAAAGGUUGGAAUUGCUCCAUGGUUGGUUCUACUUGCAUCUACGUAAGUCAAUCUAUAUGUUGGCUAUCGUGAGUUUCUGUCCUAGCCGGGACGGUUGGUUUUCCUUUCUCGUUGGCUCUUUUUCUAUAUGGCAUGGUGUUUGGCUUGGCUAAAGAAUAGGCCCCUUACUUGGCACGUCAAAUGUUUGUGGUGAACUCCGAGUUAAAGGUAAGGACUUUGAAGUCACGAGAGAAAGAGAACAAUUAAGAGCAAAGGCAGAGGGCGUUCCUUACGUUUGUGCUUCGACAUUCAAGUCAGAGGUUGGCUAAAAAAGGUCAAAAGGAAAAGAAAAUAGAAAAGUAAAAGAGAAAGUUAAAUUCGAUUAGAUAGUACCUGAAUGGCUCUUUUAAUAGGCGAAAGAUAAGGGAUCUAUAAGGUAAGAUAGUGACAUGGUUGAGCUAAUGUGGCAUUAUAUGUGUCAGGUCAACUUAACAUGUGAGGUCGACCUAAAAGUAAAAAAUGUUCUUGAUUGUCUACUGACAGUAUCUAAUGAGAAAAAAGACAAUUUAUUCUCUGAACCAAAAAAUACUCCUAACACCAUAUUUGUAAGAAGUUAUGUAAAAGACCAGUACAAAUUAGAGAUCUGGACUUCAAAAUUUUUUUUUUUAUUUUUACUUUGUUGAAAAUUAUGCUACAAUAUCAUUGGAUACUUAGUUCAAAUGGUUGAUUCAAGUAGUAAAAAAAGUAAUUUGUUAUCUAGGUUUGAAUAGGUUAUGAUAAGGUAAUUUGUUUUGAAUUAACUACUGGAAUUAACAUGAAUAUAUAUAUAUAUAUAUAUUUAUGUAAAACCCAAAAAUCUCUUUCUCACUUAAUGGAAAAAAAAAAUCUUAUGCUCCAAUUGUCAAUACAAAGCAAGCAACCAAGGCAAGGAACCCAAACUUUGGCAGACCUGCUCUCUCCCUUUCUGGGGUAGUAAAAUCUUGGGCGAUUUGUGAGAUCUGCAGCUCAAAUUUGGGCCAAGGUGUUUUACCCUAAGACUAGACUUCAGGGCUCUUUUAUAGAAGCCCAUUCCAAUGCUUAUUUUUUUUUGGAUAAAUGGUAUUUUUAUUAAUCCAAACAAGCAGAAAAACCCGCUAUGAGUCAGCAAAUCAACAAAUGAAGUGUAGCAUCUACCUAUAGAAUCCCCCAAUUUUUACGCUUUGCUUCAUGCUAAUAUUCUUGAAAAAUUACUAUUUAUUUACUUACUCUUCAUUACUUAACAUGCUUUGAAUGUGGGGUUUCAAAGUUCACCAAUGUAAAUUUUAAUUUAGAUGUAAAAGAAUCUAAUAUAUUUGAUCUCAAUUUAUGUACUUAAAACAAGUCUAUCAAUUUCUUUAGUCGGCCAAUCGGGCUUUCUUAUAUUUUCAUCUAAUGGGAAAAGAAUGAUAGACCAUUUUUUUUCUCCCUUAAGUUACAUGUUUGUCAUCUUUUCCUUGCUUGGUAAGUCACGUUCACUCCAUUUUUUUUUCUUGGUCUUUGCUCCCAAAUUUCAAAAGGAAUUAAGUCGUUGCUGUGUAGGAAGCAAACACGAUAACACCCUGGAAAUGGCAACCCAAAUUUUUCCAAAAGCUAAAGCGGAUUAAAUCUCGCAUCAAGCGAUGGUAAUAUAUCUUUGUUUCGGUCAAAGUUUUCGUCAAAUUCCAUUUCUUUGUCGUGGAAAAAAAAUCAUGGCUAUCUAUGUCCUUUAUUAUGAACAAAUAACUUGAACAAUCACGUCUAAACUUAAUCAAACAAGUAAAUUUUUUUUUUAAUUUUAAAGGGCUCUCACAUCAUAAAUUAUACCCUCUAAUGUGGUGAAAAUUUUCAAUUGAGUUCCUAAAUAAACACUAAAUCCAGCAGUUUCGUUAACAGUACAAGUAAAAAGAAUUUAUUGAGUCAGGAUGAUAAUUUUAUAAAAUAAAAAUACAUAUAUUUAUCAUUAAAUUACUGACAGAAAAUUUCAAAUAGCAAAACAAGGAAAGGGGCAGCAAGGCAUCUAUAAACUGAGAGAUGAUUUUAUUUUAUUUUUCAAAAAGUGAAAUUAGAAGGUCAAUUUUUUUGGCAAAGAAACCUUGAUCAGUCGGUCCUGGUAGAAUCCCAUGCGUUACAUGUGGUUGCCAAAGGUUCAAAAGGUGACUCUCCCUAUCUGGGGUCCAGACUGGCAAAUUGUAUGACUAUCUCUUUCAACUUUCCUAGAUAUAGGCUGUGACUGUGAGGCAAGCUGCGUCUGCUUGCUGAGAAACAUUUUGAUUCACCUCACAAAAUGAAACUUUUUGCACACUAAGUUUGUAACUUCUUUGAAAUCAUGCAUGAAAUAAUAUAAUAAAAUAAAACAUAUAGAUUAAUUAAAUUUAAUAAUUUUAAAUAUGAUAUAAUAAUAUGAUAUAAAAAUAAUACGAUUUAAAAUUUUAACUAAAUCAUAUAUGAAUAUUUAAAAUAUCGAUAUAAAUUAUAAAAUAAUAAUUUUAAUGUUUUAAUCUAUUUGACGUAAAAUAAUAAUAUUAACAUAAUUUGUGAGAAGUUUACAGUUUCACCAUCACUGUUGUAUAGAAAACAAAUUAACACUAUAAUAUUUUUUUUUUCUUUUUGGAGAGAGUUUUAGAGUUAAUUGUACGUUUGGUAAUGUGAAAGAUGCCACAUACGACCAAAAGUUUCAGCCCCUAAUUAUUAUAUGUGAACAAAUGUUGUAAAAAUUCAGCAGUUUCCGUUGUGUGGAAGCAAAGGGAAAGCGUGAUUAAUUGUAUUUGGGAGUUGUAAGAGAAACAGCCGAACCCCCUACAAUUUUAAUUUGGUGUGAGGGAAACUGUGGAAACUCAGACAGUGAACAGAUUUUUCUUGAUUCAAAAAUUUUGAAGGUCAAAAGUCAAUAUAACUUCCACACGUUCUCAAAUGAUGUGACCUCACCAUUGUCUUUUGUAAUCAAAUUUUCAUUUUGAAAAUUUUGGAUACAUUUGGUGGACUCCAAUGGUCUAAUACAUGCCAAAUGAAGUAAUUAGGGUUAACUUUUUUUUUUUUUUGUAAUUUUAAUUAUUGGAGUUUAAAACUUAAGUUCUUAGCCGAUGUUAAUGUUAUUUAAUUAAUAAUUUAUUAGUUGAAACCCAAAAUUUAAGUUUAUUAAUUUAUAUUAUAUUUAGUAAUUAAAAUUAAAAUUUUAAUAUUUAUAAUCUCUUUUUUAUCUCGAAAUUACAACUUUUUUUAUAUAUAAAAAACAAUUCAUUUAUUGGUAUAAUGUUAGCUAACUAAGAAUAACUAACAAAAUUAAUCAAGUAGAAUAUUGACUAAAUCAUAUUGAGGGCCUUUAAAUAAAAAAAAAUCCAAUUAUUAAAAACUAAAAUUUUAUUAAAUUAACAAAUAUUAACCAAAUUAAUUUAUAUUUGACAAAGUGCUUUGUGUUCUACUUAAUAAAAAUGGCUAAUUUUGAGAUUUUUUUUUGUUUUUUUAAAUUCAAGGGAAUUAAUUGAAAUCAUUAUCAAUGUGUCUUACUGUUAGAAAGAUCGAUUCCUUUUCCAAAAAACAAGAAAAUAAAUGAAAAUUUUAAUAUGUAUAUGUGACCGUGUUGAAUUGAAUAGAAUUGUUAAGUAUUUAAUUUAAAAUUAAUUAAUAAAAAAAUUAAAAUUUAAUAAAUGUGAAAUAACACCAUUUAAUUUUUUUUUUCACAUAUAAGCCCAAUACUAAUAUUAACCACUAUGAUUUUCUUAUGCCCAAAAGAAAAUUAUGAGAAUGUAUACUAUGUUGAUGGGGCAGUUUUGUUUUAAUAAAACAGAUCGAAAAAAAAAUUAUACGCAUUCAAAUUCGAAUUUUAAAUUUAAAUGCCACUGAUUUUUUUUAAGCUUGGUCACUGAUCUUCAGUGAAAGCACUGUGUUCUCCCACUGACUUUUCGAAUACGUUUACAACUUUUUAUUAUAUAUACAUAUAUAUUGUCUUACUCCAAAAUUCAUUUCUCAUUUCUUCUCAUGUGUUCAUUUGAUGGGUGUUUAAAGUAACUCAUUACUGCAAAAGUAAAUUGUCUGACAAAGAUGAAGAAGAAGAAGAUCAUGUCAGAAGACCCAGCUGUUGCAUGUAGUUUCACUUUGUUUAUAUUCUUAAUUCUGACUACAGGUAUGUUAUAAUCCUUUUUUAUCAGUUUUGGUCUGGUUUAAUUAGAUUCUAAGUUCUAGUUCCAAUAUCAUAAAUGAUUACAACAAUUCUGUUUAGUAUCAUUACUUGCUUAUAUUCAGUUAUUGAUUGGUGUUUAAAGAGCUUAAAAUCUUGCUGUUGAUAUUAAAUUUUCUUAUGCAUGCAUGAAAAUCUUUCAUGGGGCAGCCCUUUUUUUUUUUUUUUUAUUUCUAUUAAUAAAUUGAUUUUGUGAUUUUCUAGGUUGAUUCCGAUGAUUUAUUGCAAUUUUAUUUCAUAGUCAUGUUUUCCUAUCUGUUUGACUUUAAAAAAUGUCAUAACCGGUUUUAGGAUUGUUAGACAAUUUUAAAAAUAUAUAUAAAAUGUCAUUAUCAAUAUUUUUUUGGUUAAGUAUGAUUGGUUACAUAAUAAAAUUUAUUUUUUAAUAAAAUCUUAAAAUUAAUUUAAACUUUAUUUAAAAGAUAAUUUUGGAGAUUGUGAAUGCAAUUUAGAUUUUUGAAAGUACGAUUAAGCAUGAAAAAAAAUUAACAUUCUAUAACGCUAAUUCAAAGACUAUAUCAAUUAAUCAUUUGUUAUCAUUUAAUCUUGAUAAAAGUGAUCUUAAUUUUGAUAUUUAAAAUUAAUUUCCUCGACUCACUUUAUUUAUCACAAUUUUUUUUAUUUAAUUUUUUCACACAUUUCUCUUUUUUUUAAUGAAAAUUAUUAUUUCAUUUUUAUUUGAAAAAGAUUAUUUGGAAUCUUGAUAUUGAAAAUUUUUUGAAAUGUUCUAGUACAUUUGUAAUAUUAGGAGAAAUUUUUUCACUUAGAGAUUUUUUAGAAAUCAAUACUUGAAUUUCUUAAAAUCUCAUCUUUAGAAAUUUGUGCUUAUUUUUAAUUAAUUAAUAUAAAUAAUAUUCAUGCAUUAUUAUAUGUAAUCUUGUAAAAAAAUAAAUAGAAAAUUUUCUUUUAUUUUUCUUCCAUUUUUUAUUAAAAAAUAAGUAAAUGAAAAUUUUUUGUAUUGAAUAUCUUUCUAAAAACUCUAGUGCUUUGGUAGAAUUUUAGAAAAAUUUUUCACCUUAAAAUUUUAAGAAAUCAUUACUCGAAUUUUCUUAGAAUCUCUUUCUUAGAAUCACAAAAAAUUAUUUGUCAUCAUUUCACUUUUUUAAAAGAAAAUUUUGUUAAUUUUUUUAUUUUUCACAUUUUUCACAUUUUUGUUUGAUGGGUAGAAGAGAAAGAAAUUUUUUUGUAUUAAAAUUUUUUUAUAAAAACUUCAAUAUACUAGUAGUAUUUUAAAAAAAAAUUUUCUCACCUAUAAAUUUUGUAGGAAUUACUACGCGAAUUUCUUUAAAAUGUCAUUAUCAAAAAAAAUUUCUUUUUCUCUUUUUUUAUUUAUUAAACUUUGUACUUGUUUUGUUUUUUUCCUUUUAAAAAAAAUUUAGAUACUAAAUGUUUUUUUAAAAAAUUAAAUAUGCAAAGAUAAAUAAACAAAUAACUUAUCAAAAUAUGUGAAAAACUAAAAAAUCACCUAAAAAAGACUGAUCAAAGCUAAUAAAUAGUUCGGGCGAUCCAAAGUAGUUCAACGGUCUAUCGACAAUUUAAUAAUGAUUUUUUAUGUUCACGGGUGGUUCAUAAUGGCUUAGUCUAGUUCGCUUACUAUUUGCAACGAUUCAUGGAUAGUUUAGCUAAACCAUUCCAAGUUGGUUAAGGGAAAGGGUGUAGGUUGAGCAUGCUGAUCCCAAGUUGAGUCCAAGUCCACACUAGGUCAAGUAAGUUUUUCCUUUUUUUUUUUAACUAUAAAAGCUUUUUUUUUUCAAUUUUUUUUCUUUUCCCCUCCCUCUACAUUCCUUCUCUCUUUCUCCAACCUUCUUUUUAUUUUUUCUAUUCAAACAUCAACAGCCACAUCUAAAUCUAGAAUUUUGCUACCAAUCAUAGCAUCAUCGUCAUCCACCACUGCAGGUUAUUAGUUACUGAUGCAGAAAAAAUCCCAAAAAUACAAAAAAAAAAAUUCUUUUUUUCUUCUUUUUUCUUGUUUUCUAGUUGGUUUUAGCCCAAAACAACUCCGAACUACCUCUAUCUUUACCUAACGUCAUAGCCUAAAACUUAAAAUGCCCAUUAUUUUCAUUGGCCAAACACUUCCUCCUCCUAAUAUGUGUUUCUCCUACCCGUUGCUUUUCUUUUUAUUUGAAAACUAGGCCAUAAAAUGGCCUAGAAUAGAUCCGAUCUACUCAUUUUUUUUGGCUUUUUAUGUUUUUGAUUUUAUUUUUCUACGUUUUUUUGCUUGUGUUGAUUGUGGCUUUCUUUGAGGUUGUAUUUUUUUUUUUAUGUCUGUUGCAAUUUUUUAGAAUGGUAGGUUUUGAUAGGCACUGGUUGUUUUAAUAGUGGUAACUUAAGGUCUAUUUAUUUCUGGCGAGUUUGGGUGUUUUGGGGACUAUGAUGAUGGGGUAAUGUGAUGAAGGCUCGAGUAGUGGAUUUUUUUUUUUGCAGAGUAUUCUUUUCAAAAAAUUGGCCUCAUUUUUUUGUGUUCAUUUCAGCUAGGGUUUACUUUAUUCAAGUUGAGAUCAAAUCCCUUACUUUCGAGGAUCAAAAUAAGUUUACUAGCUGGUUUUCAGCUAGUCAAGUUGGUUGUAUUAGGAUUGAAAUAUUAGGGUAGCUAAUAAGGUGGCUUUGAAGGGAUAAGAGGUGAUGGGUGCUAGUGCCAUGCACGGCACCAUGCUCUAGUUUCUAUCUAUUUUUUUUAAAUUUAUUUCCUUUAAUUAGUUAAUUUUUAAUUAAACUAACUAAUUAAUUUUGAUUAAAAGAAAAUGGGCUUUAAAUUGAAAAUUAAAUUUUGGGCUUUCAAACCCAAUUGAAUUGGAUUCGACCGAUAUGAAUUUUGAAUUGAACCUUAGGCUUUUCAACCUAAUUGACUUAGACUUUAUAUUUUUUGGCUUAAUUAACUUUAAUUAAUUUGAAACAAAAUUUAUCCAUGCAAUUGAGCCCACCCAAGCCCAAAAAAUCCAACUCAAAUAAGAUGUUUGAAAGGAUAUGAAUCAAGACCCAUUUCAAUAACUCCAAACAAAAUUAAGUAUUUACAGCUACUCUUCUCUGUACAUUACUGAAAAUUAAGAAUAAAAUAAAGACAAGAAACAAUAAUUUUGUUUGGGGGGAACCAAUUUACCUUUUUGACAAGACAUAAACAAAACAUAAUCAAAUACAAACAACCCACUCGAAAAACUUGUAAACAUGUUAAAUCUACAUUUUAAUGAAUCAAUUUAGACAUGAUCGAAAAGCUUCUUCCUUCUUUUUUUUUUUGGAAAAUUUUGAAACUAACACCGAUAAACUUAAAGGUUGACCUCAAAAGCUAUUCUCACCUAAGGCUUUACAAUUAUUUGAAAGUUAAAAUGAAACUCUUCUAACCAGAGGCUCCGCAACUUUGAAAAUAAAUUGAAAUGAAAACUCUUCUCACCGAGGUUGCACAUAUUAAAAUAGAAAUAAAAACUCUUCUUAUUAAAAGCUUUAUAACUUUAAAAAUAAACGAAAACUCCUCUAAUAAGAGGCUCUAUAACUUUAAAAUAGAUUGAAAUGAAAACUCCUAUCACAAAAAGGCUCUACAGCUUUAAAAUAGAUUGUGAUAACUCAAAAAUUAUACUCAGAGGUCUUACAAAUCAUGUCCAAAAGUCUCGAUGGUUAUGCCUGAAAGUCUUUAAAAUUUUUCCAUCUUAGAAAUCUUGAAAAAAAAAUCUCAACAUUUUCAAUUCUAAUAAACUUUUACAAUUUUCCUAAAAACUUUUCUAGUUCGCAUCUUAAAAGUCUUAAAUCGUAACAAUAUAGAUUCUACUAAGAAGACUUACAAAUCUUUGUCCAAAGGUCCUACAAAUCUUAACACAAAAUAUGUUCAAAGUGAAAGACUUACAAAUCUUGCUUAAAGGUCUUGUAAAUCUCAACACAAAAACAAAUUUAGUUUGGAAGAAUUAUGAAUCUUACUAAAAUGACUUAAAGACUAUGCUUAUAGGUCUUACAAAUUGAGACAAUAAAGUAGAUUCAACUUAAAAAACAUAUGAAUCUUAUCCGGAGGACUUAAAAACUAUGCCUAAAGGUCUUACAAAUCUCGACACCUAUGAAUGCUCUUCUAAAUAAAGGCUCUACAACUUUAAAAUUUUAACUGAAAAGGUUCUUCCUAAAUAAAAGUUAAAAAACUUUAAAAAUAUCAUCUGAAAAAAAACUAUCCUAAUUAGAGGUAUUUAAACUUUAGAAAUCUCAUCUGAAAAAAGUUUCUUUUAUUAAAGGUACUGAAACUUUAAAAAUCUUAUCUAAACAAAAAAUCAGAGAUUCCCAUAUAAAAAAAUAGAAAUUCAUUCAAACAUUCAUAUAUGAAAAGUUAAAAAUUCAUAAUUGAAAGUUUUCGGGAUUCACAUUGAAAAUUUUAGAGAUUCAUAUUGAAAGUUUCAAGAUUCACAUAGAAAUGUUUGAAAUUCACACUGAAAGGUUCUUGAAAGUUGUAUCAUAAGUCUUUGAGUUUCAUAUCGAAGGUUCAUAAAGGUUCAUAAAUGAUUUUGAAUGAAUUUAAAGGUUCACAAAAGAAGAGUCAAAAUUUGAAAAUGACAUAACUUGAAUUGAAUCAAAAUCUGAAAGUGAAAUGUCUUAGAUAAAGCCCUUGCAAGUAAUGAGGUGACCAAAAUUGAAUUGUAAGUUGAAAAACAAAAUGACCUAAACUAAACUGCAAAUCAAAAAUGAAAUAAUUGGGACUGAGUCACUAGUUGAAAAUUAAAUAACCAAGAUUGAGUUGCAAGUAAAAAAAUGAAAUGACUUGGACUAAAUCGAGAUAAAAAACCAAGGUCUCGAAGUCUUAUGAAACUUGCUCAAAAAUUUUACAAAUCCUGCUUUUCGUUUGAAAUUUGCUCUUUUAAAUAUAGACAAACGAUUUUUGAAAAUUUAAAAUUUUUCUUAAAAUUUAUUUCUCAACCAAAACCUAAAAUCUUUUUUCUAAAAAAUUUUUCUCAACCAAAGAUAAAAAUCAUUGUUCCAAAAUUUUCCUUAUCCAAAGGUCAAAAUUUUAUUCUCAAAAUCCAAUUAAAAUCUCAAUUUUGAAAAGUUGAGUUCAUUAUUUUGAAAUUUUCCUAUCUUUGAAUAACCUUUCCAUCAAAAUCUUGUUUUUUGAAAAUUUCUUCUUGUGCCUCAUGCCAGUGUAAACGUACAUGCGAAUGCCUUUUGUCCAUACGAUGCAAACGCCUCUAUGUAGAUGCAAAUGCAAAUGCAAAUGUCAUUUCCUUGCAGUAUGUAAAGAUGUAAAUAUUGAUGUCUUUCCCAAGAUGCUAAUGCAACUUGUAGAAAUACGAAUGUAGGCAUUCUUUCAUGUAGUUGAUUGACUAUUACAAUGCAAACGCAAUGGGUUUUUUUGUUUUUGUUUUUCAUUUUUCAAAAGAAGAUUUCUAUUCAAAUUUUUGUUGUUCAAGAUUUUACUCUUUACCAAAAAAUGAUUUCAGUAUUCUUUACAAAAUUCUUGACUAUUCUAUAAACUUUUUAAAAGUAAUCACAGCCUUAUAUAAUGUAUUCUAUUAUCAAAGUGUGACUUUCAAGUCUUUUGAAAACUAAUGAUCAUUACCUGAAAUAUCUAUGGAUGAAGUGGUUGACAAUUUAGCUCUUUUUUGACACAUCUUAAGGAAGGUUUCACAAUAAUCACAAUUCAAUAUAAGAAGUAGGUUAAUUUUUUUGGCUCAAACUUUCCAAAAACAUAUAUUUCUUAAAAAUUAAGUGUUUCUUGCGAAGGUUCAUUUUAAAACACAAUCAUUUUGAUACUCUUUGAGUUUCUUAACAUGAUAUUUUGAUACACGUCAAAAUUAGCUUUUAUUCGUGGGCACCAAAUUUGGGUGAUUGGUUUGGAAAAAGAACUUUGGGUUUCACAUGAUUAAUCUUCAAGAAAUGUUAAAUCUUUAAUCAUCAUUGAUUUUUCAAUAUCUUCCUUGGUUGGUCCAUUAAGCACUUAAAAAAUUUAAAAUUCAUCCAAAAUAACUAAUAAAUUACAAAGGAUAAUAUUGGCAAAGAAAAGAAAAAAAAAGCCACAUUGGUUAUGAUGAUUCUUCAACGAAUAAGCUCUUUAGUUUUAAGUUUUCAUACUUAAUCAAAAUUAACUUUUCAAGGUACAUAAUGUAGGAUGGGGUUCAAGGUUUUAAAAUAAUGGAUAAAUAGGCCAAGAUAAGUGUUUAAAAGUGAUUAAACCAAGGUUUGUUUCAUAUGUAAAGGAAACCCUUUAGGACAUUUAUCUUGAUCUUAUCAUCCCAUCAUCUCAUUUUUCUCAUUUAUUUCCUUUCUCUUUUUUUUUUCAUCAUUUUCACUAUUGCAUUUCCCUAUGUAUUUCAACCUUUGAUGGAAUGGAUUCAAAAUUUUUUACUUUUGCCACUCAUAAUGAGGUAUUAUUCCUUUGUCCUUAGAGCACGACUUCAUUAAUAAUAUUUUUUAAUAGAUCCUUUUUUAUGUUCACCCCUUGUAAUCCUAGGUUAAGGCAUAUUUAAAAAGAAUUCAUUAGGCUCAAAUAGGUAGCAAGUAGUAAAGGAUGAUGAAAUAUGGUCAUUUCUAAUUUCAAAUAUAGCACUUGCACUAAAGAGUAAUUCUUUGGAGCAAAUGGGUUCGAAAUAAUUUGAAUCUUUCUUCAUUUUUUUUAUUUUUGAGGUUUUUUCCUUUUUUUUAAUCUUUGGAAUUUUUUUGGUUUUUCCAAUUUUUGUUCUUGUUUUUUGUCAUUUUAGGUUUUCUAACGUUUUCUUUUUUGAGUCAUAUGAAUAUCUCAAGCGCAUGAUGUAACCAUCAAUCUUUUCUUUCUUUUUUUUCAUUAUUUAUUUAUUUUUCAUGCUUUUUCAAUAGUUAAUCAUUGCUGAUGGUACAAUUCAAAGAGAGGGCUUUAUCUUAAUGUCAAAAAGGUUCAUUUGACAAUGGAAAUCAUGUUGGAAGGGUUCAUGCAUAAUACAUCCACCAAAUGAGAUUGAGAAAUGGUGAAAAUUAUAUUGUCUAAGGAUUAUAGGUAAUUAUGCUUUUGGUCAAUAUGCCUUUAGAUAUAAAAUGAGGAUGACUUUAAAGUAUUUUUGGUCAUUUAAAGAAUGGGUAGUUUUAGUAUAUUCGAAAUUCCAGCAAUAUCCCAACACACGUUGGUAACAUUUGGAGAAAAUUUUCACCUAAGGAUUUUUAGGAAUCACUAGAAUUUUUUUUAAGUCUCAUCCUCGAAAACUCUUGUUUAUUUUUUAAUUAAUUAAUUCAAACACUAUUUAUGCAUUAUUAUAUGUAACUUUGUAAAAAAAAAAUAAAACUCUUUUCUUUUAUUUUUCUUUCAUUUUUAAUUAAAAAAAGUAAAUGAAAACUUUAUUGUAUUGAAUAUUUAAAAAAAAAACAUCAGUUCUUUUGUAAUAUUUUAGAAAAAUAUUCUCACUAAAAGAUUUUAAAAAUCUUUACUUGAAUUUUCUUAAAAUCUCAUCGUUGGAAUCAUAAAAAAAUUAUUUGUCAUCAUUUCAUCUCUUUUAAAGAAACUUUUGUUUAUUAAUUUUUCAAUUUUCAAAUUUUUUGCAUUUUUGUUUGAUGGGUAGAAGAGAAAGAAAAUUUUUUUAUAUUGAAAGGUUUUUAGAAACACUCUAAUACGUUAGUGUUAUUUAAAAAAAAUUAACGUAAAAGUUUCAUAGGAAAAUAACUAUAUAGAUUUUCUUAAAAUCUCAUUAUCAAAAAAUUUUUUUUUCUCUUUUUUUAUUAAACUUUUUACUCGUUUGAUUUUUUUUUCUUUUCUUAAAAAUAUAUAUUCAAUAUAAAAUUUUUUAAAAAUUUAAAUAUAUAAUGAUAAACAAACAAAUAACUUAUCAAAAUAUGACAAAUUUUUAAAAAAAUAAAAAAUAAAAAAUUACUUAAAAAGGACCUAUUAGAGUCGGUCAACGAUUCGAGCGGUCCAAAACAGCAGCUCAGUAAUCUAUUAGCUGUUCAAUUGUGGUUUUUCUAUGGUUCUCGGGUGGUUCAAAGCGGCUCAAUUUGAUUCGCUUACAAUUUGGAGCAAUUCACGGGCGAUUCAAUUGAAUCAAUCCAAAUUGGUCAAGAAUAAGGUGCGGGUUGGGCAUAUGGACUCCGGGUCGAGUUUGUGUCCAAGCCCAAAAUAGCUCCGAACCGCCUUGAUCUGGACCCAAAAUCACUGCCUAAAAGUACCCUCUUUUUCCGCCGGCCAAACACCUAUUCCGCCUAAUAUGGUUUUCUCUUGCCCGCCGCCUUUUCUCCUCUAAAAACUAGACCAUGAAACCGCCUAGAACAGAUUUGAUCUACUCAUUUUUUCUAGCCUUUUUUAUGUUUUUGUUUUUUUUUCUUCCUUCUGUACACUUUUAAAAUGUGUUGAUUGUGGCUCCCUUAGAGGAUGUGGUUUUUUAUUUUUGUUAAUGGAUGUUGGGAUUUUCUAGGUGGUGGGUCUUGGUGGGCACUGAUGAUUUUAAUGGUGGUAACUUCGAGUCUAUUUGUUUUUGGCAAGUUCGGGUGUUUUGGGGACGGUGGUGAUGGGGCAAUGAGUGUACGGUGAUGAAGGCUCGCGUAUUGGAAAUUUUUUUUUUUUUGCAGGGUUUUCUUAUUCAAAAAUCUGCCUGCUUCCUUUUCGUAUUGAUUUCAGCUAGGAUUUAUUGUGUUCAGGUUAGGAUCAAAUCCCUUAAAUUCAAGGAUCAAAAUCAGUUUACCAAUUGAUUUUCUACCGGUCAUGGUGAUUGUAUUGGAAUUGAAAUGUUAGGCUAGCAGGCAGGGUGGCUUGGAGGGGAUGGGAGGUGAUGGGUGCUGGUACCAUAAACUACACCAUGCUCCAGUUUCUGUUUCUGUUUUUUUUUUUAAUUAGUUAAUUUUUAAUUAAACAAACUAAUUAAUUUUAAUUAAAAGAAAAUGGGCCUUAAAUUAAAAAUUGGAUUUUAGGCUUUCAAUCCAACUGAAUUGGAUUAACUUAAAUGAAUUUUGAGUAAAAUUUUAGGCUCUUCAACCUAACUGACAUGGAUUUCGAAUUUUUCAAUUUUAUUGACUUAAAUUGAUUUGAAACCAAAAUUUAUCCAUGCAACCGAGCCCGCUUAAGCCUAAACAACCAACUCAAAUAAAAUAUCUGAACGAAUAUGAAUCGAGGCCCGUUUCAAUUACCCUAAACAAAAUUAGGUAUCUACGAGGAAGAUUGUCUUUGCUUGAUGUGUUCAUAAGUUCUGUUAUUUACAGGUAUUAUUGUGGCCGGAGAUUGUUUAGACAGAGACAAAGAAGUUCUACUGAAUCUGAAAUCAUUCCUGGAAGAAAAGAAUCGCGUAAAUCGAGGAAGAUACUCAGAAUGGAAUGCUGACAACUCGACACCAUGUCAGUGGCAUGGAAUAUCUUGUUCUCCUGAAGGACAAAGAGUCAUUGGAAUAGACCUCUCUGACAACUAUAUUUCUGGUGAAAUGUUCAAUAGCUUCUCAGCCUUAACCGAACUUCAAGAACUUGAUCUCUCAAGAAACACCAUUGGUGGAGCCAUACCUGACGAUUUGAACCGAUGCAGUAGCCUUGUGUACCUCAACUUAUCACAUAAUAUCCUAGAAGGAGAGCUGAACCUGACAGGGUUGAAUAGUUUAGAGAAGCUUGAUUUGUCUAUGAAUAGGAUUCAUGGGGAAAUUAAAGUUAAUUUUCCAGCAAUUUGCAGGAGACUGAUUGUUGCAAACCUUUCAACUAAUAAUUUCACGGGUAGAAUGGAUAGCUGCUUUGAUGAAUGCUGGAAUCUGCAGUAUCUGGACUUGAGUUCUAAUGAUUUUGUUGGCAAUAUAUGGAAUGGAUUUGCAAGACUUGUGGCGUAUUCAGUUUCUGAAAACUUUGUUUCUGGGACACUUUCAAGAUCAAUGUUUACGAGUAAUUGUAGUUUGCGGAUUUUGGACAUUUCAGAAAACAAUUUUCAAGGUGAACUUCCGGGGGAGAUUUCAAAUUGCGAGAACUUGGCUAUCUUGAAUAUAGAGGGAAACAAAUUUAUAGGGCCAAUUCCAUCAGAGAUGGGGACGAUUUCGACUCUUAAAGGUUUGUUCUUGGGGAACAACUGUUUUUGUAGGUUGAUUCCAGAAUCCUUAUUGAACCUGACGAAAUUGACCUUUUUGGAUUUGAGCAAGAACAAUUUUGGUGGGGAGAUACAAGAGAUUUUUGGGAGAUUCAAACAGUUGAGGUUUCUUGCAUUAGACGGAAAUUUAUACACGGGAGGGAUUGGUUCUUCUGGUAUUCUCAAGCUACCAAACAUUUCUCGUUUAAGCCUGAGUUGUAACAAUUUCUCAGGCCCAUUACCUCUUAUAAUAUCUCAAAUGCAUAGUUUGAAUUUCUUGAUGCUUGCCUACAAUCAAUUUACAGGUGGUAUGCCCCCUGAGUAUGGAAACUUGCCGCAGUUACAAGCCCUUGAUCUCUCCUUCAACAGGCUCUCUGGAUCAAUCCCACCAGCCCUUGGAAAAUUGAGCUCUCUUUUAUGGUUAAUGCUUGCAAACAACUCCCUUAGCGGUGAAAUUCCACCUGAGAUCGGAAACUGCACUAGCUUAUUAUGGCUAAACCUCGCCAACAAUCAACUUUCUGGAAGAAUCCCUCCUGAGUUGGCAAAGAUUGGGAGUAAUGCGACUCCAACUUUUGAGUCAAAUCGGCUACGCAAUGACAGCAUGAUUGCUGGUUCUGGUGAGUGCUUGGCAAUAAAGAGGUGGAUACCAGCAGACUAUCCACCUUUCAGUUUUGUAUAUACAAUUCUCACAAGGAAGACUUGCGGACACAUAUGGGAUCGGUUGCUUAAAGGAAGUGGCCUUUUCCCAAUGUGCACUCCAGGUUCAAUGGUGAGAACAUUACAUAUCUCAGGUUAUCUUCAACUUAGUGGGAAUCAGUUUUCGGGUGAGAUCCCUUCAGAUAUUGGAAUGAUGAGGAAUUUCAGUAUGCUUCACUUGGGUUUCAAUGACUUCAAUGGUAAACUGCCUGCACAGAUUGGACAGUUGCCACUUGUAGUCCUAAAUAUCACCCAAAACAAAUUUUCAGGAGAAAUUCCAGCAGAGAUUGGGAAUCUAAAAUGCUUAAGGAAUCUAGAUUUGUCAUACAAUAAUUUUUCUGGCAUAUUUCCAACAAGCUUCAACAACCUGACUGAACUGACCAAGUUUAACAUUUCAUACAAUCCGCUCAUUUCUGGUGUAAUUCCAUCAACUGGGCAAUUGGCAACGUUCGAGAAAGAGUCCUACCUGGGUAAUCCACUACUGGAUGUUCCAGAUUUUAUUGACAACAGAACAGAUAACCUGCCAAACCAUAACCAGAGGCAGAAAAAAUCUACAAAGUUGGCUGUGCUUGUGGUGUUAUUAGCUCUGACACUGGCCUUCUGAGAUCUCGGGGUUGUGUUGUACCGAUUGAACUUUUUAUAUAUAUAUAAAGAAGAUAGAAGGGAAGAAUGAAAGGUUGCAUGUAUUAAAAUUAGAUUCUUAAAUUUGAAUGUCCCUCGUUACAAAUGAUUGUAUGAAUUAACUAAUUUUUAUAUUCAAUAAAACGGUUUUUUGUCAUAAAUUAAAUCUAUAGACAAUUUUUAAACAUAAAAUUAUCAAUUAUCAUUUGAUAAUUAUCUUCAUCUUUAUAUAUGAAGAAAAAAAUUACAACAAAUAUAUUUAUAUUCAAUUAUUAGAUAUAAAUAUUCAAUAUAACAGUUUUUUUUCCUAUAAAUUAAAUCUAUAAACAAUUUUAAACAUAAGAUUACCUUUUGUCAUUUGAAGAUUAUCUUCAUCUUUAUAUAUGACAAAUUGAUAACAAAUAUAUUUAUAGUUAACUCUUAAAAAGAGGCUGAGUAAGAUAAAGGAUUUGAAAGGGCAAUAAAAUUUUAAGGCAAAUUGUCCCUUUGACCUGUCCCUUUGAGCGGCUGAGGAUGUGGCAAGAAGAAGAAAAGCCGCAUAAGCUGUCCUCAGGGUGGAGUCUACGCCUAAACAAUUCAGUCCUCCCACUAUGGAAAAGUUACCUGCAAAAUAUCAGCCCCUGGGUAAUGUUCUUAACAUGAAGUGUAAAAGUUACCUGCAAAAUAUCAGCCACUGGGUAAAGUUCUUAACAUGAAAUUCUAGUCUAAGAAAAUUUUCAGUAACUUGGUUUGCUUAUAGAAGUUCUGGGUGAGAACUAUAAGCUCUGAGCUGGCAAAUAGACUGUUAUUAACAAAUUGGUCUAUUCACUAAAUAUUUAUGGGUAAAAAAAAGUUAUGCUCCAAUUGUCAAUAGAAAACAAGGCAAAAACAAGGAACCCAAACUUUGGCAGGCCUGCUUUCUCCCUGGCUGUGGUAGUUAAAAUCGCGGGCUAUUAGAACUAUAGCUCAAAUUUGGGCCAAGGUGUUUUACACUAAGACUAGACUUCUGGCUCUUUUAUAGAAGCCCAUUCCAUUGCGCCAUUCUUUUUUUUUUUUGGAUACGGCAUUUUCAUUAAUCCAAAGAAGCAGCAAAACCUGUUAUCAGUCAACAAAUCAACAAAUGAACUGUAGCAACUUCCUAUACAAUGCCCCAAUUUUUACCCAUUGCUUCAUGCUAAUAUUCUUGGAAAAUUACUAUUUAUGUACAUACUCUUUAUUACUUAACAUGCUUUGAAUAUGGGGUUUCAAAGUUCACCAAUGUAAAUUUUAAUUUAGAUGUAAAAGAAUCUAACAUAUUUGAUCUCAAUUUAUGUACUUAAACCAAGUCUGUCUUUCUUUUCCCCACAGAUUUCAAUUAUUUUUAUUGUUUAUCUUAAUCACAUUUUCUUUACAGUUAUAUACAAAGAUUUUGACUAAUUGAUAUUUUUACAGCUUACUUUUUGUUGUUUGAAAAAUUUUAAGAAAAAGUAAAAAAAUAAAAAGUAAUAUCUAAAUAAAUAAAAAAAUUAGACAAUCAUCAAAAUGAAACACCUAUUAGAACAUAUCAGAAAUUGAGUAAAUUUUGAUAAAAUAUUAAACUUUUAAUUUAAUUAUCAAAAUUUAAUUUUCAGUACGUACAAAGUUAGAGGGUAAGUAAUUUUCCAAAGCAUAAACAGAAGUACAUAACAUGCAUGAAGGGAAAGGAAGAGAAAGAGCCAGGGCCCCUAGUCGGCCAAUUGCGCGUUCUUGCAUUUUCCUCUUAUGGAAAAGAAUGGUAGACCAUUUUUUUUCUCCCGUAAGUUACAUGUUUUUCAUCAUUUCCUUGCUUGGUAAGUCACGUUCACUCCAAUUUUUUUUCCUUGUCUUUGCUCCCAAAUUUCAAAAGGAAUUAAGUCGUUGCUGUGUACGAAGCAAACACGACAACACCAUGGAAAUGGCAACCCAAAAUUUUCCAAAAGCUAAAGCGGAUCAAAUAUCGCAUCAUGCAAUGGUAAUAUACCUUUGUUUCGGUCAAAGUUCCAAGUGACUUGUCAAAGUUUUCAUCAAAUUCCAUUUCUUUGUCGUAGAAAAAAAAUCAUGGCUAGCUUUGUCCUUUAUUGUAAACGAAUAACUUGAUCAAUCAAAUCUAAACUUAAUCAUACAAGUAAUUCUUUUUCAAAUUUUAAAAGACUUUCACUGUAUAAAAAAAAAUUAAUCAUAAAAUACAUCUUUUAAUGUAAUAAAUCUUUUAGUCAAAUUAUUAAAUAGACACUAAAUCGAGCAGUUUCAUCAAUAAUACAAGUCAAAAGAAUUUAAUAAUUCAGGAUGAUAAUUUUUUAAAUUAAAGAUACAUACAUUUAUCAUUAAAGCAAAGACAGCAAUUCUCAAAUAGCAAAACAAGAGGGGAAGGGACAAGGGAAGGGACCACAAGGCCCCUACAAACUCAGAGGUUUUUUUUUUUUUUUUUCAAAAAGUGAAAUAGGGAGUCAAUUUUUUUUGGCAAAGAAACCUCGAUUGAUUGGCCCUGGUAGAAUCCCAUACGUUACAUGUGUUUGGCAAAGGUUCAAAAAGGUGACUCUCUCUAUCUGGGGUCCACAUUCGCAAAUUGUAUCACAAUCCUAGAUGUAGGCUGUGACUAUGAGGCAAGGCUGUAGCCGCUUGCGAUGAAACAUUAUGAUUUGAUCUCACAAAACCAAAUUUUUUGCACACUAAUCUCGGCUUGUGACUCCUUUGAAAUUAUGCAUGAAAUAAUAUAAUAAUUAAUAUAAUAAAAUAAAAUAUAUAAAUUAAUUAGAUAUGAUAAUUUUAAAUAUCAUAUAAUGAUAUAAUAUAAAAAAAUAUUAUUUAAAAUUUUAAUUAAAUUUUAUAUGAACUUAAAAAUUUAGUAUUUGACACGUUAAUGUAAAUUAUAAUAUAAUAAUUUUUAUAUUUUAAUUAUUCAACAUAAAAUAAACAUAAUAUAUAUAUAUAUAUAUGAAUUAUCAAUUUCAAUAUUAACAUCAUUUAUGAUAAGUUUACAAAUUUCAUCGUUGGUGUUGUACAGAAAACAAAUUAACAGUAUAAAUUUUUUUUUCUUUGCUUUUGGAUAGAGUUGUAGAAUUAAUUACAUGGUACGUUUGAUAAUGUGAACGAUGCCAUAUAUGACCAAAAUUUUCAGCCCCUAAUUAUUAGAUGUGAACAAAUGUUGUAAAAAUUCAACAUUUUCCGUUGUGUAGAAGCAAAAGGAAUCCGAGAUUAAUUGUAUUUGGAUUUUGCAAGAGAAAAAGCCGAACACCCCCACAAUUUUAACUCGGUGUGAGGGAGAUUCUGGAAACUCAUAUGCUGAACAGAUUUUUCUUGAUUCAGAAAUUUUAAGGUCAAAAACGCAAUAGGUCCACACGGGCUCAAAUGAUGUGACCUCCCCCUUUUUAUUUUUUAAACAAAUUUUCUUUCCAAAAUUUUUUUUAGAAAAUUUUAGAUGCAUUUGAUGGAAUCCAAUGGUCUAAAAAGCUUUGAUCACUUGCCAAAUGAAGGUAUUGGGGUUAGCUUUUCCUUUUUUUUUUUUUUGUAAUUUUAAUUAUUAGAGUUUAAAAUUGAGAUCUUUAAUUUUAGAGUCCAUUUUAAUAGUUUUAAAUUAAUAAUUUAUUAGUUAGAAUUAAGACUUAAUUUAAUUGAUUUAUGUCAUUAUUUGUAAAAAAAUAACAUUUAAAAAAUUUAAAAUUUAAAUCCCAAGAUUUACAAUUUUUUUUUUAUUUUGAAAGAUUAUGGUCUGUUUUAUAUAUAUAUAUAAAAUCUCAUUGGUUGGUAUUAGUGUUAGCUGACUAAGAGUAAUUAACAAAAUUCAAUCAAGUAGAAUCUUGACUAAGUCAUAUUGGGGCCUUUAAAUAAAAAAUCCAAUAUUGUAAAAUGAAAUUUUAUUAAAUUAACAAAUAUUAAUAAGAUUAAUUUAUAUUUGAUAAAGUGCUUUAUGUUCUACUUAAUAGAAAAAAAAAGGGAGGGUUAAUUUUGAGAGAGUUUAAAAAAAAUAAAAAUUCAAGGGAGUUAAUGUGGAACAACCUGUUUGGAUCAUUAUCACUAGUCUCUUACACCUAAAAAGAUUGAUUCCUUUUCUAAGAAAAUAUAUGAAAAUUGUAAUAUGUAUAUGUGGCUGUGUUGGAUUGAAUAGGUUUACUAAAUAUUUAAUUUAAAAUCAAACAAAAAAUUAAUUUAAAGAUAAAAUUUUAAAAUAAAGUUAAUAUUUAAUAAAUAUGAGAUAAAAUCAAUUAAUAUUUUUUUCUCAUUGUAAAACUAAUAUUAAUAUUAACUACUAAAACUAAAUAAAAUAAAAUUUGAAAUUUGAUAUUACAAUAAGUAUUUAAUUUGAAAUCAAUUAAUAAUAAUUAGAGCUGUAAAAAAAAUUGAAUAUAAACGAAUGAACGUAUGUAUGUAGUUUAUUCAUUUAUUUUUAAAAGUGUUCGGAUUUAGUUUGUAUUUAGUAAGAAAAUUAUUCUGUUAAUUCGAACUUGAUUCAUUUAAAUGAUACGAUAUUCAUAUUUAAUUCGUAUCUAGUUUAUAUUCGAUUCAAUUAAGUUAAAAAAAUUCGUUCGUGAACAUGAAGUGAACAUAUUCAUGAAUAUAUAUAAAUAAAUAUACUCAUAAACAAUAAAUAAAUUAUAAUCAAAUAAAUUUAAACAAACAAACUCUAAAGAAAUAUAAAUGAACCUAACUGAAUAUAAACAAACUUUAAAACAGUAUUAGGAUAAAUGAUACAAAUAUAAUUUUAUUAGUAUUAUUAUAAACGAAUAAUAAACAAAUGAGUUUAUUAAUGAACAUAAGCAAAUCUAAUCAACAUUUAUUCGUAUUUAAUUUAUUUAAUAAAUAAAUAUAAAAAAAUUGCUCAAGAUCAUUUCUUAAGUUUAAUAAACGAAUAAAAACUAAAUACGUUCAUGAACAAUUGAUAAAAAACUUUAUUCGUUUACAGUUAUUAUUAAUAUCUGAAAAUAUCUAACCUAAUAUAAAAUUUUAAAAAUUUUAAAAAUUUUAAAAAUUUUAAAACUUAACAUAUAUAUUAUAAUACCAUUUAAUAAUGAUUAGAUAAAUAAUCAUGCAUUAAAUUUAAUAUGUAUAAGAAUGCAUUAAUUUAGUCCAAAUUUAUAAUUAAUAGCUAUCAAUGACAAAUCCACCGCAACCAGAUUGUUUGAUGUUAGUUUAUCAAAUCCUGACGAACAAAAUGCUUGACAAACAAAUCCCUCACUCUUUUCUUAUGCAAAAAAUAUAUAUACUUUUAUGAGAAUUUAUAUUGUGCUUAUGGAAUUUUUUUUAAAGAAAAUCGUGAUUUAAAAAAAAAAUUAUAAAUAUUAAAAUUUGAAUUCUAAAUUUAGAUAUCACAUUUUUAAAAUAUUAUAUAAAUAAAUAAAAUAAAAUAAUAUAUUUUAUGUAACAGUUUCUUUGCCAUAAAGUCAAUUUCCUAAACAAUUUUUAAAUAAAAAUUACUAUUUUUCAUUUGAUAAUUAUCUUCAUCUUUAUAUAUAAAAAAAUUAAUAAAUAAUUGAUUCAAUUGAUUAAAAUUUUUUAUCUUUGAUGAAAAAUUUUUAUAUUCGAAUCUUAUCGGUAGUUAUUUAUUGAGAUUAUUUUAAAUACACGAUUUAAAUUUAUUUAUAUUAAAUUAUCAGAUAUGAUACAUGUUAUUUUAAUUUAAAAGACUAAAUAAUUUAUUUAUUUUUAAAUUUUUCCUAUAAAAAAAACUUGACAACAAAUAUAUUUAUAUUUAACUCUUAAAAAGAGUCUGAGUCAGAUUUUGCAAUUUAUGGCAUUUAUAAAGAUAAAGGAUUUGAAUUUUAAGGCAAAUUGUUGCUUUGACCUGUUGCUAUCAAAGCCAUGGAAACAUUAUAAAAUUGUGAGUACUAACAACCGUUGGCGUACUUUUUUUUUUUUUUUGCGACAAUGUUUUCCGUUGAAGACUAAAAUUGAUAUUUUUAUUUUUUUCAAGCUAUAAUUAUGGUUGAAUUUAAAAUUUUUAAUUUUUAAGUUGAUUUUAAUAUUAUUAAACUAUAAGCUCAUAAGUAAAUUUAUAUUAUUUUAAUUCUACUGUUUUAAAAAUAAAAAAUUUCUCUACUUCAAUUUAAUAAAUUUAAUUAGGUACUUUUAUUAAAAGUAGAUUUAAAGACAAUUGAUAAUAAUAUUAUAAUUAAAUAGUAAUUAAUAUUUUUAAUUCUAAAAACAAAAAUUUAAUAUUGUUAUUAAAUAAUAAAGUUUUUUCGUGUACAAAUGUGUCAUCCAGUAAAAGAAAAUUCUAACUAAAUGUCACAUCAUCAACAAGAAUGGGUUCAAUCAAAUUUAAUUACAAAAAUUUAAAACCAUCGUAAAAUGUUAUGAUAAAAAAAAUUAAAUUAAUUAAAAUUAAAUUACGAGGACCAACAUCACAUAAUUGAAAUAGUAAAUAAAUUAAAUUCAAAUUUUAAUAAUAUUUUUGGAUCAUACUUGAUCCAAUCUCAUAAAUUCCAUUUAAUUAUUUUAAAAAAAAAAUUGAACUCGAAAAUUUCAAAUUAAAAUAUGGGGGAUUUUUAUAUAUGCUGAAAUUGUGUUAUUUGUGACUUUUCCCUCUUGUAAGAGACUAAUUGAAAGUCAUACGGCGUGGGUUUUAUCUCGUCAUCCUCCUUUCUUUUUUGUAAGGGCAUUAAUUUUUUUUUUGCAAUAAAAAAAUUGUGCUAUUUGUAAUUUUUACCUAUGUAAUUAGUUGAUUUAUUUUAAUUUGUGACAAAGUUACAUGAGAUCAUCAUCAUCAUUAAUGAUAUGUAUUUUUGUAUAAUUUAAGAUUAAUAUUAUUAUUUUAAUCUGCAUACUUCUAUUCUAUAUAAAUAGGCAUGCAAAAUGUUUCCAUCACAAUUAACAAGUCUAGAAAAGAUGUCACAGAUGAAUAAAUAAAUCAAAUUAAAUAUAAAUUUCAAGGUCACCCUCUCAUGAGGAGGACCAUUCUAUUUUUUUAUAAUUUAGUUUAAUUAUUAAUUAAUUAUAGAUGGCUUUGACUAAUUAAGCAGCUCAAAAUUGCCUUUGCUACAUGGAUUUGAUGGGAUCUCAAUCAUAAAUCCGUAAAUGGUCUCCUGAUGUAGUCCACUUUGAUUUAACAUAAUGAACAAUUGACAUUUGGAAAGUAUUUUUUUGAUAUUUUUCUUCACGUACUCUUUGGUGAGUACAUAACAUGGUUUUGAAUUGUUAAUAUUUUUUAUUAAUUAAUCAAAUAGUGAUGUUAUAAAAAAUUUUGGUCAUUGAAGUCUUGUUUCAAUGGCAAGAAAAAAAAAAUCCUUAGAUCUUAAAUCAAAUUGUAUUAUACAUGAGUUUAGUCAAAUUUUAAUGUUAGUUUGUUUAAUUGGUUAGUUUAUUUAUUAAUUUUUUCUAUGAAUGUAAUAUCUUAUAAAUAAAUAAUAAGGAUUAAUUUAUCGUCUCAUACUAAUAUAAGAGUUAAAUAUUUUUUAAUUUUAAGUCAAAAUUAAAUUCAUAACACUUUUAUUUAAUUAUUUUAAUUCAAUGAUAAAAAAAGUGUAAUUCUUACGUUUAUAUAAGUGGAUCUAUCAAGUAUAACAAAAAUUCUACUUGUAACUGCAGCCAAUCAAAAUUUUUUUUGCUGAGGCAGCAAUUUUCUUUUAAAAUGCACAUAUGAAUAGAUAGAGCUAAUAAAAUCGGUCCAAAUUUUAAAAAUUUGUCAAAAUGUGAACUUGAUUUGGAUAUGCAUAACCCACAUCUAAAAUAAUUUAAACUCAAAUUAAUUCAAAAUACUAAUCUAAAAUGAUAAUGAACUCUAGUCAAAAUAUUCAAAAUCAAAAUGAUAAAAAAAAAAAAAAAUUCAACAAGGAAUGACCUGAUCCAAAACCCACUAAAUGCCCAAUUGCCACCUACAUUAAUAAGUUUAAAGGAAGACAAUUCCUUGAAUCUUCAAACUUUUUCUUUUAGUUAACAAUAUUAUUUAGAUCUGUUUGUCUCUAACAACUUGAAAAGGCAUUUGGAUUAAAAAAAAAAAAUGCAAAAGCAACACAAAUGCAUUCACAAAUCUAGAGUCCUUGCAAGUUUAUAUAUCCCAUAAAAUAGUUCUGGUUUUUGCAUUGCAUAAUCUUUUUUUAUUAAACUACUUAUCUACAUAAAGAUGCCAAAAAGUAGCCAUUACCAAAACCUGAAUUAUUAUCAAUUAACCCACGAAACUAAAGAAAAAAAAAUAGUAUAAUGUUGAAGUUGCUUAAAUUGUCAUUCACUUUUCCAAGUUUGGUUGAACAAAUCUUUUACAGGGCAUCCUAUCCUAACAAAAGAAAGUGGUCUCCACUCACCACUUACCAGCCUCAUCAUGGGCGGCCAGGCUUUCCAAUUGGUUACUAUUUUCUAUUCAUGAUAAGAGCAAGAAAUUGCCCUUUUCCCCCUUAACACAAAUUAAUGUUAUUUUAUUUGUAAAUUUGACAAUAUUGGCUCCAUUUUGAGGAAAUAAGAACCUUCCAUGAAACCAGUUACGAAGCGAUAAUCAAAAUUUUACAUCAAGAAAAUUUUUUUUUGUAUGUCGAGAUUUAAAUGUGAGAUUUAAUUCAAUUAAUUAUUUUAAAAAAAAUAUUCAUUAAAUUUAAAAUUUAAAUUUUAAAAUCAUAUUAAUUUUUUUAUUUUCAAAUUACUACCUUCUUUAUAUAUAUAUAUAUAUAUAUAUAUAUAUAAUUGUAUGUCAAGAUUUUAGGCAUAUAAAUAAGGAUAUGCUAAUUAAUUUGAAUUGGUGUUGAAAACAUAUAGAGCUUUACUUGAUAAUCACUUUUGCUUAGAUGAAUUUUCAAAUUUAAUGUUAAUCUCUUCAAACCUACUUUUUUUUUUCUUUUUAAUUCUUAAUAAUUGUUUUCUUGUUCACUUCUUUCUCCCACUUGUUAAUUGAAAAUAAUUAUUGGAGAUAAUUACAGAAAACAAAUACAUGUCCGUUCUUUUUAUUCCUUUUUUUCACUAAUUUAAGAGAAAAAUGCAAGUGCGUAUGCAUUUAAGCAUUUAACUCGAUGAUAAAUAUAUAUACAUCUUACUUGCAAAAUUAAAUUAAAAUUUUUCUUUCUUUGAAUAAAAAAAAAAGAAGAAAAAGAAAGACAUACUCAAUCUAAUCCUUUCCAUUUCUUCCCAAAAUCAUUCAAUUUUCCUUUAGAAUUGAUAAAGAAGAUAGCACCAGAUUAACUGAUGGUAACUUUAAGUUUUUUUUUUUUAAUUUUUUACCGUGGAUAAAGAGAAUGGAGUUAAUUUUUUUAUAUAAAAAAAUUGUAAUUUGAAUAUAAAAAAAUUAUAAGUAUUGAGAUUUUAAUUUUAAUUUUAUUAUUUUUUAAAAUAAUUAUAUAAAUUAAUUGGAUUAAAUUUUGAAUUAAAAAAAAUUGAUAUGGUUGCAUAUUAAAUUUUUGCAGCUGACUAAAACCAACUAUACCAAGUUAUCAUAGAUAUGCAAUAAAUUAUCAUUUUUUUUUUAAAUUGCAAUAAAUGAUUAUUAACAAUUAUUCUUUUGUUCAUUUUCAAUUUGCUAGGCUACUUACCAAACAUAAUGGAGAUUCCUUAGUUCUCAACCCGGAUUUCCAAGCUUUGCAUAUUUUUUCAUACGUUUCAAAGUCAAAUUAUUAAUUUAAAUAAAUAAGGUUUCUUCAAUCCCUUCCUCAAAUCUCAUGUUGGAUUUCUUUUGACCAAUAUGGCAUGAAAAAUCACAACAAAAAAAUUGAGAAACAAAAAAAGUCAUGAAAACAAUAAAAAAUUAUUACAAAAAAUUAAUUUAUAAUGUUAUUCUGAUGACAAAUGCGUGUAUUUGUUGCUGUGGUUUUUCAUAUAAACUUACCAACCAACAAAAACAGUGAUAACUUUCCAAAUUUUGUUUGUGAAAGUAAUGGCUUUAGUCAAAUACAAACAAUAUGAACAAACAAUCCAAAUCCAAUUCUAGAAAGAAAAGCAAAUUAUGCUUCAGCCUUGUCUGUGGCUCGUUGAGUCGGAUUCCGUGGUCAAACCCCAUGUCCUGAUGUUACCCCGAAGUAACCAGUCAACAUGGGCGGCUCAUCAGCCCCUUGCUUCGAAUGUCUCAUUUUCCCAUCAAAGAACAAGCACCAUAACCAAAAACUGAUUAAUAUUGAGAUUAUUUCCCAUUUUUUGUUUUGGAAAAGGUACUGUUGGCAAACGUUUCUUCCAAGCUUGGUCUCUGGUCUUCAGUGCAGGCUCUGUGUUCUUCCACUGACUUUACGAAUACGUUUACAACUUUUUAUUUUUUAUAUAUAUAUAUAUAUAUAUUUUGUCUUACUCCAAAAUUCAUUUCUCAAUUCUUCUCAUGUUUUUAUUUGAUGGUUGUGUAAGUAACUCAUUACUGCAAAAGUAAAUUUAACAAGAUGAAGAGGAAGAAGAUCAUGUCAGGAGACCAAGUUGUUCCAUGCCGUUUCAUUUUGUUUAUAUUCUUAAUCCUGAUUACAGGUAUGUUAUAAUCUUUUUAUCAGUUUUGGUCUGGUUUAAUUAGAUUCUAAGUUCUAGUUCCAAUAUGAUAUAUGAUUACAACAAUUCUGUUUAUAGGAGUAUCAUUUCUUGCUUAUAUUCAAUUAUUGAUUGGUGUUUAAAGAGCUUAAAAUCUUGGUGUUGAUAUUAAAUUUUCUUAUGCAUGCAUGAAAAUCUUUCAUGGGGCAGCUUUUUUUUUUUGUUUAUGUCUGUUAAUGAAUUGAUUUUGUGAUUUUCUAGGUUGAUUCUGUUGUCUUAUUGCAAUUUUAUUUCAGCAGUGAUGUUUUCUUACAUGUUUGAGUUCAAGAAAGAUUCUGUUUUUGCUUGAUGUUCAAAUUUCUGUUAUUUACAGGUACUAUUGUGGCCGGAGAUUCUUUAGACACAGACAAAGAAGUUCUGCUGAAUCUGAAAUCAUUCCUGGAAGAAAAGAAUCGCGUAAAUCGAGGAAGAUACACAGAAUGGAACGCUGACAGCUCGACACCAUGUCAGUGGCAUGGAAUCUCUUGUUCUCCUGAUGGGCAAAGAGUAAUUGGAAUAGACCUCUUUGACAACUAUAUUUCUGGGGAAAUGUUCAAUAACUUCUCAGCCUUAACCGAACUUCAAGAACUUGAUCUCUCAAGUAACACCAUUGGUGGAGCCAUACCUGACGAUUUGAACCUAUGCAGAAGCCUUGUAUACCUCAACUUAUCACAUAAUAUCCUAGAAGGAGAGCUGAACCUGACAGGGUUGAAUAGUUUACAGAAGCUUGAUUUGUCUACUAAUAGGAUUCGAGGGGAAAUUAAAGUUAAUUUUCCAGCAAUUUGCAAUAGACUGCUUGUUGCAAACCUUUCAACUAAUAAUUUCACCGGUGGUAUAGAUAGCUGCUUUGAUGAAUGCUGGAAUCUGCAGUAUCUGGACUUGAGCUCCAAUAAUUUUGUUGGCAAUAUAUGGAAUGGAUUUGCAAGGCUUGUGGUGUAUUCACUUUCUGAGAACUUUGUUUCUGGGACACUUUCAAGAUCAAUGUUUACAAGUAAUUGUAGUUUGCGGAUUUUGGACCUUUCACAAAACAAUUUUCGGGGUGAACUUCCAGGGGAGAUUUCAAAUUGCAAGAACUUGACUAUCUUGAAUAUAGGGGAAAACAAAUUUAAAGGGCCAAUUCCAUUAGAGAUAGGGACGAUUUCGACUCUUAAAGGUUUGCUCUUGGGGAACAACAGUUUUUCUAGGUUGAUUCCAGAAUCCCUAUUGAACCUGACGAAAUUGACCUUUUUGGAUUUGAGCAAGAACAAUUUUGGUGGGGAUAUACAAAAGAUUUUUGGGAGAUUCACACAGUUGAAGUUUCUUGUACUAGACGGAAAUUCAUACUCAGGAGGGAU